AUGUUUUUUAACAUAGGAAAAUAGUUCAUUGUAAACAACAGUUAAAUGUUUGUUGUUAUUAAUUGCAAUCAGAUUUGAUUUUAUGAGGUCAAAUUAAGCAUUUCAGUUCUGGGCCAAGGCCAAGGCAUUUAAAAUUUUUUUUUUAAAGUUGCAUGGAAGAUUAUAAGUAGCAGUGAUUGUCACACACACACUAGGUGUGGUGAAAUUAUUCUCUCCAUUUGACCCAUCACCCUUGAUCACUAUGCAAGUAAACCUUUUCUUAAUUUUAAACAAGACAGACUAGAGUUCUUCAAAUUGUUUAUACUUUUUCUCAAAUACAAAUAUGUCAAUCUGAUAAGCACUGUGGAGUAGGCAUGUUACUGAUAUUGUUACAUUAGUUCUUUGUUUGAGAAGCUUCAUGUCUGCACUGAUCCUAAAUUUAACAGUUUUUGAAGGGUUUGGUUCUUUGUUUUAUUUCUGUGUCACUGACUUUUUUCAUUUUUAUGUGUGGAUUUGUUAGGCGCAUCAACACAUGAUAUAGACAUCGUGCCCAAAAGAAGAGCGAGACGUAAUCCUGAGGCUGAAGCUACCGAGUUUAUUUGAUCUGGAUGUGACAAGUCUUGUUUUAAGGCCCAGUGGAUCAAUGAUUGGAAAGACACCAACUGUUGAUGUUCUAUCUCAACAUUCUCCAGAUUCAUGUGAGCGAUAAACCGACUUCAUCCCUCCAACAGACACCUACUGUUGGGGUUCUAUCUCAACAUUCUCCAGAUUCAGAUGUGAGCGAUAAACCGACUUCAUCCCUCCAACAGAAACCAACUGUUGAGGUUCCAUCUCAACAUUCUCCAGAUUCAGAUGUGAGCCAUUAACUGACUUCAUCCCUCCAACAGAAACCAACUGUUGAGGUUCCAUCUCAACAUUCUCCAGAUUCAGAUGUGAGCCAUUAACUGACUUCAUCCCUCCAACAGAAACCAACUGUUGAGGUUCUAUCUCAACAUUCUCUAGAUUCAGAUGACAGCCAUAAACCGACUUCAUCCCUCCAACAGAUUGACAGCAGGACAAAUCGCUGGAAGUAGGUAUGUCUCAAGCUUCUUCCACUUGGUCCACUCCAAAGCGGGCUGCAAAGGGGAAGAAGUGGAAGCAGUUGAAUGACACAUGUUGCAUUUUGUAACUGGCAACAAAGUACCAGGUAAAAAAGAUUGUGAAGCCUGCCUCCAUAAAGAACUAGUAGCUCUACAGGACAGAGAUUGGCUUGCCAUCAAGUACUACAUCCAUAACAGAAUUAUAUUAAAAAAAGGGGAAAAAAAUGUUUUCCCACAUCUUCUGUGGUAGUUUGAGUAUGUUACCAGCAAUUAAAAAAGCAAAAUAAA